ACGGCGAGUGAAGCGGCAACAGCUCAAAUUUGAAAUCUGGCCGUCAGGUCCGAGUUGUAAUUUGUAGAGGAUGUUUUGGGCACCGCAGCCGGAUAAAUUUCUUGGAACAGAAUGUCACAGAGGGUGAGAGUCCCGUCUUGACCGGCUGUAGGACCCGUGUAAAACUCCUUCGACGAGUCGACUUGUUUGGGAAUGCAGGUCAAAAUGGGUGGUAAAUUUCAUCUAAAGCUAAAUAUGGGCCAGAGACCGAUAGCGCACAAGUAGAGUGAUCGAAAGAUGAAAAGCACUUUGAAAAGAGAGUUAAACAGUAUGUGAAAUUGUUGAAAGGGAAGCGCAGGCAACCAGACUCGAGCGCGGGGUUCCCCCUUCCUUUUGGUUGGGCUACUUCCCCGUGACCGGGCCAUCAUCAGUUUUGGGGGCGGGUUAAAGGCCUUGGGAAUGUAUCUACCCCUCCGGGGGUAGACUUAUAGCCCUCGGUGUCAUGCCGCCUCCCGGGACUGAGGAACGCGCUUCGGCGAGGAUGAUGGCGUAAUGGUUGUCUGCGGCCCGUCUUGAAACACGGACCAAGGAGUCUAACAUCUAUGCGAGUGUUCGGGUGUCAAACCCUUGCGCGGAAUGAAAGUGAACGGAGGUAGGAAGGCCUGAGCCUGCACUAUCGACCGAUCCUGAUGUCUUCGGAUGGAUUUGAGUAAGAGCAUAGCUGUUGGGACCCGAAAGAUGGUGAACUAUGCGUGAAUAGGGUGAAGCCAGAGGAAACUCUGGUGGAGGCUCGCAGCGGUUCUGACGUGCAAAUCGAUCGUCAAAUUUGCGUAUAGGGGCGAAAGAC
rnacentral:rRNA from 1 species